UCCAACAGCCACCACAUCCUUAACAUUCCUGGUCUCGGCUGAUCUCAGAUAACUAAGGAGAAUCAGCCCAGAGUUGUUGGGU
ensembl:rRNA Gm27289 predicted gene, 27289